AACGUGAUGCCCUCUCCUCCAUAGAUCGUCUCCCUCGUAUAGAUUAGUUCGGCUUAGCUUGGCGAAGCCCUGCUAGAUUAGUUCACCACCACCACCACCACGCCGUCAUGCUGCCGGAGAACUCAUCUACCUCUUUGCCCCUCUUGCUGGAUCAAGAAGGCGGAGAUCGUCAUCAAGCUUUACGUGUGCUGAACGUGGAUGUGUCGUCCGUUCGGCGCUAGAUCGGGACGGAGUUCGUGGGACGGCUUGUGAUGUGGAUCGUGAAGACGUUCGACUUCAUCAACCACAUUUAUUAACGCUUCCUGCUUAGCGAUCUACAAGAGUAUGUGGAUCCGAUCUCACCUCUCAUAGAUAAUCAUUACCAUGGAUAGGUCUUGCGUGUGCAUAGAAUUUUUUUUGUUUCCCAUGCAACGUUCCCCAACACGGCCAGCGCGCGACAGCUGUUCGGCUGUUGUUCAUCUGCGGCCGGCGAAUGGAGUCACUUAGGAAAUUGUGCCUGCUAGUGUUGCGAGCAUCGAAGUAUUCCUUGAUGUGUU
rnacentral:lncRNA from 1 species